CGCAGGGGAGACGGAGCUAGCAGUUUAGGGAUGAGAGCGGGCAGGUGGGCCGGAGUGAGGCCUUGUUCCUGUGAGCGUCGUGGGUGCUCGACUGGGGCUCCGUGAGCCAAUUACUUCUGCGUGUUCUAGAGCUUGGUGGAAAGGGAGCUGUGCUGCCUGCACGCCUCCGUGACCGACUUCUUUCGCACAGCACGCUGCAUUCGUGCACGCCGCCACGUCUAACGGGGCAAUUAAAAAAAUCUCAGGGCUUGGCAAGAUCAGAUGGGUGUGUGCAGAUUUUCCCCUCAAGGUUGGCAUCCUAGACGACCUUCGAUUUGUGGAGGCACUUACUGAAUGACAAUCAGGGACACGAUGAUAAAUUGAGACGGAUGUCGGAUGCCCCAAAGAGCAGGUGAUCGCAGGAAUGAAUGCAACAUAAAGAUAAGUAUUGUUCAAUCCUGCCAAAUGUGGGGGUGCGUAGGCUGGGCAACCUUUCCAGUGUUGUCCAACCUGGCGAGUGGAGGCGGGAGGUGUGGGGGACCGGCCUGCUGCGGGAAGGGAGUUCUGGGCACAGGUUCAUAGCGCGUCCCAGUGCAAGAGGCGGGACACGGGGCUUUCCGACACCCUUCUCACGCGUGGGUGGGCUUGGCCUCUAAUUGGUGGGCUUCUCCCUGUGCCCGAACUCCUGGGCCCGUCCCUCCGAUCGAACGCCAAUCCUGAUCAGAUUCUCCCCGGGAUUAAAGAUUAACCCCCAUGUUUGGCCUUUGCAGGAGGCUUAUAUAACCUUCUAGGUCAGUUGUCACACUUUUCCGGACGGGGUCUCAGAGGGGAGACGCGAUGUGGUGUCCCGGCUAAGCAUACUGUGCCGAGCUGGGGGGGGGGGUGGGGCGCUGAGGUCCCGGGGCACUCAGGCCAGAAAGCCACCGGGCACGAAAGGGGAGAGUAAGUUAAGGACUGAUGAGACCCGAGGCUGGUGUCCCAAGUUGGCCGAGAGCAGCCUCACUUAUUUGGGGUCCGCGGCACGUGCUGGAUUGCGGGGCUCAUUCCGCAGAUGUGUCUGGAGCCGCCUUGAUGGUGGGGGGCCAUCGGUGGCCGACACAGACAGGAGCCCGUUUCCUGGUGGGAACAGAGGGAAUGGACAGGUGAUCAGAGCCCCCCCACCCCCGCCCCCCGCCAGGUGCUCUGCUAGGGUGGCUGGGAUGCUCAGGAUGGUCCCUGAGGGAGGUGACCCUCGGGCAGAGGCCACCAGGCAUGGGUUUGGGAACAGCUUUGAGAAGGCCUUGUGGGUUGAAGGACGUGUCCUCCCCAA